GAGAAUGAGGCAUCUGAGGACGUGUCUGAAUACAGGAAGUUAUUUUAGAAGAUCUGGGCGGUGGAGGAGUGCUUAUCUCGUUCUCAAACGUGCACGUUGGAAAAAACUCGGUCUUCACCUUGGCUAUGCAGGCCAUAACAGGCACAGCUAGUUUGAAGAGACCAAUGUGAAUCACAGUGUACCCCGCAAUCAUCUCUGCUGCUCAUUACCCAGAGACACACCUCUAAACGGAUGCUGAGCGCUUGUGACUGAAAGCUUGCGGCAGCUAGAGACAGAGGUUUGACAACAAAGAGCGCUUGUGACCCCAGAAGCCCUGAGCUCCUGUGGAACAGUCACAGUCCUGGUCAAAGAGACGCACAGGCAAUAAAAGUGGGCAGAAAUGAUCCAAAAUAAAUGAAUGCAUGAAUUAGAAAUGAGUGAUAAUUAAUGAUUGUGCUUAAUGAGCUUC